rnacentral:rRNA from 1 species
AGAGUUUGAUCCUGGCUCAGAACGAACGCUGGCGGCAUGCCUAACACAUGCAAGUCGAACGGGCAGGGGCAACCCUGUCAGUGGCGGACGGGUGAGUAACGCGUGGGGACCUGCCUCGAAGUUCGGAAUAACCGCGGGAAACUGCGGCUAAUACCGGAUGUGGCCUGAGGGCCAAAGGGGAAACUCGCUUCGAGAGGGGCCCGCGUCCGAUUAGCUAGUUGGUGAGGUAACGGCUCACCAAGGCGACGAUCGGUAGCUGGUCUGAGAGGAUGAUCAGCCACACUGGGACUGAGACACGGCCCAGACUCCUACGGGAGGCAGCAGUGGGGAAUAUUGGACAAUGGGGGCAACCCUGAUCCAGCAAUGCCGCGUGAGUGAUGAAGGCCUUCGGGUUGUAAAGCUCUUUUGGCGGGGACGAUGAUGACGGUACCCGCAGAAUAAGCCCCGGCUAACUUCGUGCCAGCAGCCGCGGUAAUACGAAGGGGGCUAGCGUUGUUCGGAAUUACUGGGCGUAAAGGGCGCGUAGGCGGUCCUGAUCGUCGGAUGUGAAAGGCCUGGGCUCAACCUGGGAACUGCAUCCGAUACGGCGGGACUGGAGUGUGGGAGAGGUUGGUGGAAUUCCCAGUGUAGAGGUGAAAUUCGUAGAUAUUGGGAAGAACACCGGUGGCGAAGGCGGCCAACUGGACCACAACUGACGCUGAGGCGCGAAAGCGUGGGGAGCAAACAGGAUUAGAUACCCUAGUAGUCC